CUCUUUUGUGGCUGCUGUAAAGACACGAUCUGAUUUUACUCCCCAUCCCACAGAGGAGUGAAGCCAGCCCCUUUCACUAACAAGUCCAUCUUUUUGUCACUCCUUUCUAACGGUAGCUCUGCAAUACAUCAAGCCCUCAUAAAUACACAAGUGUGCUUCUGGGCCUGUUCUGCUGGUUUAUUUUUAUGUUGCCAUGCAGAUCGCACACUACAACUUGAACUAAAUGGGUGUCUGGGAAGCCCACCUGCUGUGCCCUGCCUUAAUGGUGUCUUGGCUCUUGUUGAAAUUUGGGGUUUCAAUUACAUCGGAUGGAUACAGAGUCAACACGGAAGAAGUCACUUGCUGUUAUCGCGUUAUCACAUCCAAGACUUGACUCCGGUCUGACUUUGCAUCCAUUAACGAUACUCUGCCGUCCGCUGGGUUUUACUCCAGCUCUUCAGGUGGAAUGCUGAAACCACACUUGUUUUUUUAAUAAAUCCAUUUAAGACUGUAGAUUUCCUUCUUGCUUUAGAAUUGCCAAGAGUACAGUUCCAAAUGAGGACACUUCUGUUGGCUACCGUGUGCCUGAUUACGACUCUCGAUCUCUCUCUUGUAGUUCCGGUAAAAACCACAAUAAGAUGAAGUAUCAUCUGUGAACAAUGGGUGUCUGGCCUCAGUUGAGAGAACUUCCUCUCCACAAAUGUGGGAGGUCUAGGUCUCUGAGAAAAUCCAUGAGAUACAAGCUAAGUUUUCCCCCUGCCCAGUCUGAGAAAGUAAGAUCAUCAUGUGACCAGGUUUCUAGUCAAGGAAAUAUUUCCUGUGGUUCCCUAUCUGAACUGAAAGAUCCACAGGGGAUGGCGUGUCCUCCAAGAUGCUGGAUCUCCACAGUGGAGAAGACCUAAAACCCCAUCUAUUCUUUUUCUUUGUAAAGCUCUAUCCUGGACCUAACUUUACAGGGUUUCUAGAAGUGGUGGACAGUCACGUGGGAAAUCAAUACGUGAUCUUUUAGACUGAAAUCCUAUCUAUCUGCCAUCACGCUUCAAGGAAAGCUGUGUUUGCACUGUUUCACGGCAAGCUGCUUUGACCAAGCCGUAAUAAGACAACCUCUCAAAACAAGUUUACCCUAAGCCAGACUCUGCACGUCAGUCCUGAAGGUGGGAACCGAUACGUGUAGUUACUGACGUUAAUUAAAUCCAAUGCCUGACUAUUGAAAAAUGCUUCUGCGAACUUGAAGCAGCAUCCAGUGUUUACGAGGUUUCAUCUGAUAGGAAUCACCUUUCUUCCUCCUUGCAGUUACUACAAGCAACCCAACUUCGCCGAAAAGUCCCAACUCAUGCCACCUUUUAACGUAGAAUCCCAUUCAAGAUUCUUCUUUCUGAAAACACUAUUUUUAGAUGUGGACUUGAGGACAGGACCGCAAACGAUGACCAUCUUCUGAAGUGCUCUUCUCAGAGAUACAGGCAAACAGGGUUCAGGUCCUGGUUUCAAGGCUGCGUAGCGAUGCUCUCCUUGGCGACUGCAAGCCCCGCCUCCUCCCCUUGGAGCAUAACGCUGCAUCCCUGGCUGCAGGUAAGUGAGGCAGUCCAAACUGUUCUUUGUUCACUCCACGUACACGUCUCUACGUGUGUUUGUGGAGCCCUGGUUUUAAAUGCCUGGCUCGGGGCCCCUACCUUCUAAGGGGAGUUUUAAUUCCUGUUACUAUAGCAGGAACUGAAGGUGCACUUAGUCAUCUGUACACGCUGCUCAGCACGUGCGGGUUUUCUUCUUUUCAUUUCCAUCCGUCAGCCACCACUGGAUCAAUGCCAGAAGCAGGGGAAGGUGGCUGAAAACAAGGGCUAAUGUCAUGUGCAUCAGCAGCCUCCCAGGACAUGUUGAUUUUAUAGAUGUAGGAUCAGUGUUCCUUCAGUAUUCAUUCCCACACAAAUUUACCAGGACAGGAUUAAAUGAGCCCAACAAGUGCCUUUCUCCUAAACACACAGGUGACACGCAUAAAUCUUCCAUUAAGCUCAAUAACAAACUUGAUUUCCAGGGACUAGUUUUUCCUCCUAAGACUCUGAAGCAGGAUAAGCUGUCAGGCCACAGGUUCAAAAAUAGCUCAAAAGAGGGACCUUGGCCAGAAACCACGUAAAAUACCAAGUAUUUGAAAAAGUGAGGUGUGGUGUGUUGAAUUAAAAGAUACCUUUUCCUAACACGUGUAGUCCGGGUUGCAGCGUCGUUAGGGCCUAUUUUUGCGACAGGAAAUAGCAAAAUAGGGAAAUACUUAUUUUCUGAUCUUGAAGAAUACCUGUGCCAGUGCCUUUUAAAGUUCAUCAUAACGCUAGGUUUUUUGGACACAUUGUAGGGGAGAGCGUUCCCAUACAAGACCAAUAGAAUACUUACCUCAGUUCCAAGGGGAGUUGUUUUAAAGCUCAACCACAAAUACUCGCUGUCAAUUUAUAUACUGCUAACAAUGUAUAUCGCGUUCUUGAAGUUGUACAUCUCACCCCUCUCAAUUCUCUCAUUAGAAUGUACUUAUGAUGUCGUUUCAAUAGAAACGAAUGUAUGUCAGCAAUCGGAUGACGACUCCAGGGAGAAUCUAUUUACGCUCUUGAUUAUCUGUGCACGUGGAACAUUCUCCAAGACAGAUCACGUGUUAGGCCACAAAACAAGUCUCAACAAGACUGAAAUCAUAUCAAGCCUCUUUUGUGACCACAAGGGUACGUAACUAGAAAUCAAUUGCAAGAAAAAAAUACUGGAAAGACACAAACACGUGGAAAGUAAACCACCAAUGGGUCAACCAAAAAUUCAAAGAUGAAAAAAAAAAAUACAUAGAAAUGAAAACGGGAACAGAAUGGUUCAAAAUCUUUGAGGCACAGCAAGAGAAAUUCUAAGAGGAAAAUUUACAGGGAUACAGGCCUACUUCUAGAAACAAGCAAAGUCCCAAAUAAACUAACCUACAACUAAAGGAACU